CCGUACACAAAAAUGCACAUACUGUGAGCUCGAUGAGUAGGGCGGGACACGUGGUAUCCUGUCUGAAUAUGGGGGGACCAUCCUCCAAGGCUAAAUACUCCUGACUGACCGAUAGUGAACCAGUACCGUGAGGGAAAGGCGAAAAGAACCCCGGCGAGGGGAGUGAAAAAGAACCUGAAACCGUGUACGUACAAGCAGUGGGAGCCUCUUUAUGGGGUGACUGCGUACCUUUUGUAUAAUGGGUCAGCGACUUAUAUUCUGUAGCAAGGUUAACCGAAUAGGGGAGCCGAAGGGAAACCGAGUCUUAACUGGGCGUUAAGUUGCAGGGUAUAGACCCGAAACCCGGUGAUCUAGCCAUGGGCAGGUUGAAGGUUGGGUAACACUAACUGGAGGACCGAACCGACUAAUGUUGAAAAAUUAGCGGAUGACUUGUGGCUGGGGGUGAAAGGCCAAUCAAACCGGGAGAUAGCUGGUUCUCCCCGAAAGCUAUUUAGGUAGCGCCUCGUGAAUUCAUCUCCGGGGGUAGAGCACUGUUUCGGCAAGGGGGUCAUCCCGACUUACCAACCCGAUGCAAACUGCGAAUACCGGAGAAUGUUAUCACGGGAGACACACGGCGGGUGCUAACGUCCGUCGUGAAGAGGGAAACAACCCAGACCGCCAGCUAAGGUCCCAAAGUCAUGGUUAAGUGGGAAACGAUGUGGGAAGGCCCAGACAGCCAGGAUGUUGGCUUAGAAGCAGCCAUCAUUUAAAGAAAGCGUAAUAGCUCACUGGUCGAGUCGGCCUGCGCGGAAGAUGUAACGGGGCUAAACCAUGCACCGAAGCUGCGGCAGCGACGCUUAUGCGUUGUUGGGUAGGGGAGCGUUCUGUAAGCCUGCGAAGGUGUGCUGUGAGGCAUGCUGGAGGUAUCAGAAGUGCGAAUGCUGACAUAAGUAACGAUAAAGCGGGUGAAAAGCCCGCUCGCCGGAAGACCAAGGGUUCCUGUCCAACGUUAAUCGGGGCAGGGUGAGUCGACCCCUAAGGCGAGGCCGAAAGGCGUAGUCGAUGGGAAACAGGUUAAUAUUCCUGUACUUGGUGUUACUGCGAAGGGGGGACGGAGAAGGCUAUGUUGGCCGGGCGACGGUUGUCCCGGUUUAAGCGUGUAGGCUGGUUUUCCAGGCAAAUCCGGAAAAUCAAGGCUGAGGCGUGAUGACGAGGCACUACGGUGCUGAAGCAACAAAUGCCCUGCUUCCAGGAAAAGCCUCUAAGCAUCAGGUAACAUCAAAUCGUACCCCAAACCGACACAGGUGGUCAGGUAGAGAAUACCAAGGCGCUUGAGAGAACUCGGGUGAAGGAACUAGGCAAAAUGGUGCCGUAACUUCGGGAGAAGGCACGCUGAUAUGUAGGUGAAGCGACUUGCUCGUGGAGCUGAAAUCAGUCGAAGAUACCAGCUGGCUGCAACUGUUUAUUAAAAACACAGCACUGUGCAAACACGAAAGUGGACGUAUACGGUGUGACGCCUGCCCGGUGCCGGAAGGUUAAUUGAUGGGGUUAGCGGUAACGCGAAGCUCUUGAUCGAAGCCCCGGUAAACGGCGGCCGUAACUAUAACGGUCCUAAGGUAGCGAAAUUCCUUGUCGGGUAAGUUCCGACCUGCACGAAUGGCGUAAUGAUGGCCAGGCUGUCUCCACCCGAGACUCAGUGAAAUUGAACUCGCUGUGAAGAUGCAGUGUACCCGCGGCAAGACGGAAAGACCCCGUGAACCUUUACUAUAGCUUGACACUGAACAUUGAGCCUUGAUGUGUAGGAUAGGUGGGAGGCUUUGAAGUGUGG
rnacentral:rRNA from 1 species